UACGUAGGGCGCAAGCGUUGUCCGGAAUUAUUGGGCGUAAAGAGCUCGUAGGCGGUUUGUCGCGUCUGCCGUGAAAGUCCGGGGCGCAACUCCGGAUCUGCGGUGGGUACGGGCAGACUAGAGUGAUGUAGGGGAGACUGGAAUUCCUGGUGUAGCGGUGAAAUGCGCAGAUAUCAGGAGGAACACCGAUGGCGAAGGCAGGUCUCUGGGCAUUAACUGACGCUGAGGAGCGAAAGCAUGGGGAGCGAGCAGG
rnacentral:rRNA from 1 species